ACGCACGCUGGCGGCGUGCCUAAUACAUGCAAGUCGCACGCUUCUUUCCUCCCGAGUGCUUGCACUCAAUUGGAAAGAGGAGUGGCGGACGGGUGAGUAACACGUGGGUAACCUACCCAUCAGAGGGGGAUAACACUUGGAAACAGGUGCUAAUACCGCAUAACAGUUUAUGCCGCAUGGCAUAAGAGUGAAAGGCGCUUUCGGGUGUCGUUGAUGGAUGGACCCGCGGUGCAUUAGCUAGUUGGUGAGGUAACGGCUCACCAAGGCCACGAUGCAUAGCCGACCUGAGAGGGUGAUCGGCCACACUGGGACUGAGACACGGCCCAGACUCCUACGGGAGGCAGCAGUAGGGAAUCUUCGGCAAUGGACGAAAGUCUGACCGAGCAACGCCGCGUGAGUGAAGAAGGUUUUCGGAUCGUAAAACUCUGUUGUUAGAGAAGAACAAGGACGUUAGUAACUGAACGUCCCCUGACGGUAUCUAACCAGAAAGCCACGGCUAACUACGUG
rnacentral:rRNA from 1 species